AUGGUGGCCAUCGCCGCGCUCGCGGACGGCAAGAGGUGGGCGGGGAUUUCUCAGACGGGGAAGCCCGGCGCGAAGGCUCCUAAACCCAUCAACUUGCCGAACCAGAGGUUGGACAGCCAUGGCCUCCGCAGUGACGAGAUUGUUCCAAAGGGCACGACCACUUGGGGCGGCAAAUCAAUGCUCCCAGCAUCAAAUGCAUGGGCUUCACCUUUGCUUCUGAAUCCCAAGAAUGAUAGAGCUUCUGGUUCACCUAGCCACAUUGAUGAUCGUCCUUCUUCCCGAGGAAGCUCGACGUCAUCAUCAUCAGUUGGAAGUGACUUCCUUGACUUACCAUCGUAUCGUUUGCCAAUGGCCGUAAAUUAUCCUCUAAGCACAGAGACAAGAUCAGGGAGCUUGCAAGUUUCUCAUUUUCCAGAUUCUUUCAGUAAUAUUCUAAAAGCACCGUUGAAAGCUGUUGGCAGACGGGCACCUACAUCACAGGGGAAAGGGUUCAGCCUAAGUAUGGAUGAUUUCCCAGUACUUGGCUCCAGAAACUCUGCGUCAAACAGUCAACAAGGGCAAAUUUCAGGAAGGUGGCCAACUAUUGCUUCUGGUAUUGUGGCAACACAAGAUAAACAAGGAAAGAACCCGAUAACUGGAACUGGUGAGGUAAUUUUGUCUUGCAGUUAUGAGCAUGAAAUUAUCUCAAGAAUGGACUAUGUUUGCAAAGGAGACGAUCCUAUUCCUGCUGCAAAGUUUAUAAGGGGAGCUGAGCAGGCUCAACUGCAUGAUCCCCAAGUUCCUAAUAUAUGUAUACCUCCUCCAUUGUUGGAUUACUGGCAUCGUCCUCCUGAUCAGCCACCUGAUGAAAAUGGAAAAUUGCAUAGUGGAGAGGUGCCAUAUGGUCCGUACAAGCAUGCUGACCCGACUGGCUUUGCUGUUGAAUCUCUUGCUCAUCGUGAUCAGUUCACGCUCAACGAGGAGGCACUAGCAAAGCAGGAUACUGGACAUGGUGGGUAUUAUCCAGACAAGAGGGAUAUAUCUCAUGCUCACAUGCCUGCUGAUUGUUGUGUCAUAAAUCAAUCUUGCCAUGUUCUUGGGAAGGUCAAGAAUGGCCAUGCAGAUGUACUUGAGAUCGAGAAGCAACCUAUCAUCAAGAAGGAUGUGGCUCUAUGA
rnacentral:rRNA from 1 species